GAAGAAAAACAAAAAAUGGGGCGAAAUCUCGCGAAAAAACGCUGGCGAGAGAAACUUGCCCGCCUGUGUGUACACGCGCAACCAAGCACAGGACGUGCGCACUGUGGGCACGUCCCAUCUGCGCAGGGCGCAGGGCCAGUCUGCACGCACGUCAUGUCACGUGCAGAUAGGCCAAUCUGCACACAUCACAUCGCACAGGACAGGGCCAAAGGCCGCACCUUGUGCACUGCCUGCGUAGUAGGCCUGCGCGCAGCACCCUACACU
rnacentral:lncRNA from 1 species